rnacentral:rRNA from 1 species
GACGAACCGUGCGAACGUUGUUCGGAAUCACUGGGCAUAAAGGGCGCGUAGGCGGCUUAUCAAGUCAGGGGUGAAAUCCGGCAGCUCAACUGUCGAAGUGCCUUUGAUACUGAUGAGCUCGAGGGAGGUAGGGGUCUGUGGAACUUCCGGUGGAGCGGUGAAAUGCGUUGAUAUCGGAAGGAACGCCGGUGGCGAAAGCGACGGACUGGACCUCUUCUGACGCUGAGGCGCGAAAGCCAGGGGAGCAAACAGG